AGGAGCUGGAGGAUGAGGCCCGGCUGUGCCGCUGGGCCUCCGGGGGACAUUCAGAGCCACGCAACAAGCGGGGUCUGGGGAGGGGGGGCAUUUAGCGCCCAGCGACCAGCUGCUGCCCUGGGCCACAUAUCUAUCUGACGAUGCGUUUGGCCGAGGCCGCCUCUGUCGCUCCGCGGUGACCUGGGGUUCCGGUCGGGGCUGUCCGAGGGCAAGGGAAAGACGAGUCAAAGGUGGAAGACGACCCGAAGGGCAAGGAGGAGAGCUUCUCGCUGGAGAGCGAUGUGGACUACAGCUCGGAUGACAAUCUGACUGGCCAGGCAGCUCACAAGGAGGAAGACCCGGGCCACGCGCUGGAGGAGAGCCCGCCGAGCAGCGGCGCCGCGGGCAGCACCACGUCUACGGGCAAGAACCGGCGGCGGCGGACUGCCUUCACCAGCGAGCAGCUGCUGGAGCUGGAGAAGGAGUUCCACUGCAAAAAGUACCUCUCCUUGACCGAGCGCUCUCAGAUCGCCCACGCUCUCAAACUCAGCGAGGUGCAGGUGAAAAUCUGGUUCCAGAACCGACGGGCCAAGUGGAAACGGGUGAAGGCAGGCAAUGCCAAUUCCAAGACAGGGGAGCCCUCCCGGAACCCUAAGAUCGUCGUCCCCAUCCCUGUCCACGUCAGCAGGUUCGCUAUCAGAAGUCAGCAUCAGCAGCUAGAGCAGGCCCGGCCCUGAGGGUCCAGAAGGGCCAGGGCCUGGCACCCACCUGGAGAAGCCCCCGCACCCAAGGGAACCCAUGGUGGACUCCACUGUGUUUGAAGCAACCAAGUCACAGCCCAACUGUGGCCAUCCCAAGCAAAUUGAGAAUAUAUUCACUAAAUGGGCUUAAAAGACUGCUUUUGAAGGGGCUUACAG
rnacentral:sRNA from 1 species